rnacentral:rRNA from 1 species
CAAAAGCUCAAAUUUGAAAUCUGGCGUCUUUGGCGUCCGAGUUGUAAUUUGAAGAAGGUAUCUUUGGGCCCGGCUCUUGUCUAUGUUCCUUGGAACAGGACGUCACAGAGGGUGAGAAUCCCGUGCGAUGAGAUGACCCGGGUCUGUGUAAAGUUCCUUCGACGAGUCGAGUUGUUUGGGAAUGCAGCUCUAAGUGGGUGGUAAAUUCCAUCUAAAGCUAAAUAUUGGCGAGAGACCGAUAGCGAACAAGUACAGUGAUGGAAAGAUGAAAAGAACUUUGAAAAGAGAGUGAAAAAGUACGUGAAAUUGUUGAAAGGGAAGGGCUUGAGAUCAGACUUGGUAUUUUGCAUGCUGCUCUCUCGGGGGCGGCCGCUGCGGUUUACCGGGCCAGCAUCGGUUUGGAGCGGCAGGAUAAUGGCGGAGGAAUGUGGCACGGCUUCUGCUGUGUGUUAUAGCCUCUGACGAUACUGCCAGCCUAGACCGAGGACUGCGGUUUUUACCUAGGAUGUUGGCAUAAUGAUCUUAAGUCGCCCGUCUUGA